rnacentral:rRNA from 1 species
AUUGAACGCUGGCGGCAUGCCUUACACAUGCAAGUCGAACGGUAACAGGUCUUCGGAUGCUGACGAGUGGCGAACGGGUGAGUAAUACAUCGGAACGUGCCUAGUAGUGGGGGAUAACUACUCGAAAGAGUGGCUAAUACCGCAUGAGAUCUACGGAUGAAAGCAGGGGAUCGCAAGACCUUGUGCUACUAGAGCGGCCGAUGGCAGAUUAGGUAGUUGGUGGGAUAAAAGCUUACCAAGCCGACGAUCUGUAGCUGGUCGGAGAGGACGAUCGGCCACACUGGGACUAAGACACGGCCCAGACUCCUGCGGGAGGCAGCAGUGGGGAAUUUUGGACAAUGGGCGAAAGCCUGAUCCAUCAAUGCCGCGUGCAGGAUGAAGGCCUUCGGGUUGUAAACUGCUUUUGUACGGAACGGAAAGCCCCGGGUUAAUACCCUGGGGUCAUGACGGUACCGUAAGAAUAAGCACCGGCUAACUACGUGCCAGCCGCCGCCGUAA